rnacentral:rRNA from 1 species
AACGCGAAGAACCUUACCAGGUCUUGACAUCCUUUUGCCUUUCCUAGAGAUAGGAAUUUCCCUUCGGGGACAAAAGUGACAGGUGGUGCAUGGUUGUCGUCAGCUCGUGUCGUGAGAUGUUGGGUUAAGUCCCGCAACGAGCGCAACCCUUGUCCUUAGUUGCCAGCAUUUAGUUGGGCACUCUAAGGAGACUGCCGGUGACAAACCGGAGGAAGGUGGGGAUGACGUCAAAUCAUCAUGCCCCUUAUGACCUGGGCUACACACGUGCUACAAUGGAUGGUACAAAGGGCUGCGAGACCGCGAGGUUUAGCCAAUCCCAUAAAACCAUUCUCAGUUCGGAUUGUAGGCUGCAACUCGCCUACAUGAAGCCGGAAUCGCUAGUAAUCGUGGAUCAGCAUGCCACGGUGAAUACGUUCCCGGGCCUUGUA